rnacentral:miRNA from 1 species
ACGCCAUUAUCACACUAAUGA